AUGGGGACCAGGGGAUGGACGCUCUCCACCUUCCUGGGAUGCUGCACAUGGAUUCUGCACGGGCUGGGGGCUGUUGCUGCUGUCCCUGUCACUACCGAUGGGUCCUUUACUGUGGGGACAGCUUUCCCCAUGACAACAGAGGACAAGUGGCCCCACACUACCCUCACAACAGAGAUGAGCUCCACAGCAGCUGAUGCUGAGACCUUCCCUCCCGGGACUGAGACGGAUCCAGUGACGGUGACAAGCGAACACAGCUCCUCGGUUCCAGCUUCGGUGAAUGGGACCCAGGCUCCUAACACCACUCAGAGUACUGAGGGAAAUUCAGCUGCUCCCAAUAUGGCCACAACUGCUGCUGCCAUCACCGCACAGCACCCUGCUGUCACCCCAGAAGCAGUGCAUGAUGAGCUUGAUGUCCCUCUGGGGACCACCCCUGUCAUUGAGGAUGUCAAGGACAUCCCUGCAAACAGAGGAGACACAGACCUCAAUACUGGCACUACAUCCCUCCCCACCACCUCUCCACUGGCAGUCACCUGGGUGCCAGAGCCAACUGCUGGUGUCACUGUGCUGCUGAGCCAAGGGCUCACCACAGCCCAGGAAGCAGUCGAGGAAGGAGUAAUCCUGCCUGAAGCUAUUCAAGGUGAAGCCAGUGCCAACCCCUCAGGCUCCAGUCCUGAUGCCAGGGAGCUGCUUCCAGCCCAGCAGGAUGGAGCAGUGGGCAGGGUUGAGGGCAUUAACCCAGAGCCAGCAGGAGAAAUGGCCCCAGCUGGUGAGGAAAGUCCUUUGGCUUCAGAAUCUGGAGAUGCAGGAGAUGCAAUAAAUGGUGAAUUCAGCACAGCCAGCCCAUCCAACGUUCCUCCAGAGAGCCCAGCGAUGUCAGGAACAGUAGAAAACCCUGAGAAGUCCUCCCUCCUCCCUGGCCAGGCACUGAGCCCAGACAUUUCACUGACACCAUCCAACGGUGGGGAUGGGCAGGGAGUUCCUGGGGUGUCAUCAGGGCCUUCUGGUUCAGCCUUGUCACCUGCAGCCAGCAGGGCACCAGUGGCACCUGAGGAAACAGAGGACACUGCCACCUCACUGCUGGCCCCAGGGGUUCCCACUGAAGCAGAGACUGACACAGUCUCAGCCACUGCACUGCCCUCAGGUGACAUUGGAGCUGUGGAUCUGGCCAGUCCAUCUCUCCAGCCUGCCCCAUGGCAGACCCACACUGGAGAACAGCCACCGCUGCUUUCUGAUGCUCUGACAUCCUCCACAGACACCCCCAGUGCUCCUGGGGCUGCUUAUCCAGCCCCAGAGGCUGGAGCCAGAGCCCUGCCUGACACUGAUGGUGCAGCAGAGACACCAGCAAGUCCUGACCUCGCUACUGGCCCAGAAGCAGCCGUGUCUCCGUCUCUUGGGGAGUCACAGUCUGCUGGGAUGCUGGCUGGAGCUCCCCAGGAGGCCGAUGGACUUGGCACUGGCUUGAGCUCAGAUUCAGAUGCCCCCAGCCCAGAGCCUUUUGUACCUGAUGGACUGGCGUGGCCCACUGCUGGGAGCCAGGGUCAGGAAGAUCAGGGGGUAGGGGGUACGGCACAGGCAGGAGGUCCAGGGGAUGCCAGUCCCUAUGAAGAUAUCCAGAGUGACAUGAGUGCUCCAGCCCUUCAGCCCUCAGUAUCCCCUGCUGAUAAUGGAGAGCUGCUGACUGCAGGGACAGAAGACUUGGCAAAUGCUGAACUUUCCCCCCCACCAGCACUUGGAGAUGGAACAGAAGGAGCCCCAGCACUGGGACAAGGGUCUUCACCUGGCUCUGCACCUCCCAGCAAUGCUGGAAUGAAGCCUGAUCUCUCAGGAGUUGAAGGAACAGGGGACCUGCCUGGUGAAUCUGCCAGUGCUCCUGAGGCUGUUUUCCCACCCCUGGGGUCUGUGGCUGGCCCAGUGUCUGAGGCAGAGACACCAGUGAGCCCUGACCUCAGUGGUGCCCAGGGAGCACCUGGGUCUCCAUCCUUUGGUGGGUCUCAGCCAUGGGGAACAGCAGCUGGUGCUCCCGUGGGAUCCGGCCUCCCUGGAGGCCAGCAGCAGAAGAGCAUGGAGCCAGCACAGCAGAGCCAGCAGUGGAAGGAGCAGGCAGUGGGAUUGAGUCUGAGCCAUCCCUGA
ensembl:lncRNA